rnacentral:rRNA from 1 species
GAUGAACGCUGGCGGCGUGCCUAAUACAUGCAAGUCGAGCGAAUGGAUUAAGAGCUUGCUCUUAUGAAGUUAGCGGCGGACGGGUGAGUAACACGUGGGUAACCUGCCCAUAAGACUGGGAUAACUCCGGGAAACCGAGGCUAAUACCGGAUAACAUUUUGAACCGCAUGGUUCGAAAUUGAAAGGCGGCUUCGGCUGUCACUUAUGGAUGGACCCGCGUCGCAUUAGCUAGUUGGUGAGGUAACGGCUCACCAAGGCAACGAUGCGUAGCCGACCUGAGAGGGUGAUCGGCCACACUGGGACUGAGACACGGCCCAGACUCCUACGGGAGGCAGCAGUAGGGAAUCUUCCGCAAUGGACGAAAGUCUGACGGAGCAACGCCGCGUGAGUGAGGAAGGCUUUCGGGUCGUAAAACUCUGUUGUUAGGGAAGAACAAGUGCUAGUUGAAUAAGCUGACACCUUGACGGUACCUAACCAGAAAGCCACGGCUAACUACGUGCCAGCCGCCGCGGUAA